rnacentral:lncRNA from 1 species
GAUAUAUUGUUUUGACUUCUCAAUAACUCAUUUUGUCUUCCUUUUUUGUUGCAGAAGCAUGCGCCACCGAUUUCUGUGCCUCAAAAUAGCUGGAAAAAUUGUGAGAAAGGUAAAGAAAAAUGGCUGUGCCACUUGCUGAGGAGAGAGACAGAUCCGAGCCUCGGAUCCGAGAGUGAAAAUGGAUCCGAGCUCGGAUCAGUGGAUCCGAGGACUUCCC